GCAUACCUGAGCACAAUCAGCUGCAGGAGGUGGCUGCUCAGCUGAAAGCCUGUGGGGACAAAGGAGGAGACCCAGGACUCGCUGUAUCCGAGCCCCGAGAUGAUGACGUGACCUUAGAAGAUGGCAGAGCCACACAAUAGAAGGCGUUUGGGUUCCUGAAUCACUGUAUGAACAGAGCCACCCACAGAAUAUGAACAUCCUCCCUGGACUGUCAUAAUGAGUGAGGAAAAAACUUUACUGUGUUUGAGCCUUUAUAUAUUUGGGGUCUAUUCACUACUGCAGCUAGUGUUACCUUGAGUCAUUGGUGCCUUGAAUUACAGAACUGCCACAACGAAAUUCUAAAAUAUGUUAGCAGUUGAGCAAGAGGGAUCAUGGAACUGUUCGAGCUGGAAAAUGGUUAUCUAUGUUAUGCAGUGGCAAAACAUUGGGUAAAUCUGUUGCAUGUUGUUAUGGACUGAAUGUUUGUGGUCUCCCCUAAAUUCAUAUGUUGAAUCCUAACCCUCGAAGUAGUAGUGUCAGGAGGUGGGGCCUUUGGGAGGUGACUAGGUUGUGAGGGUGGAGCCCUCAUGGAUGGGGUUAGUGCCAUUAUAAAAGAGGCCCCAGAGAGCUGCCUUGCCCUCUUUCUACCAUGUGAGGACAGAGUGAGAAGGAUCCAUCUAUAAAUCAGAAACAGGGCCCUCCACAGAUAUAGGUACUGCCUGUGUCAUCUUCUUGGACUUCCUGGUAUCUAGAACUGUGAGAAAUAAAUUCCUGUUCUUUGUAAGCCA